GCGGGCUUGGCAUAUGGGUUGUGCACCAGCCUUCCAAGCUGGAUAAACGGGUUCGAGUCCCGUAGCCCGCUCCA
rnacentral:tRNA from 1 species